UAAAUAUAGUAGAAAAAUCACUUAAAUAGACCUAAAUACCCUCAAAAUUAAAACCAACUAAAAAACCCUAUUGGAUCAGAAUUUUGGAAAAAUGAGAGGCCACUACAUUUUGUGGGUGAUGUCAUAGCGUUCCCAGUCAAUACCAAUGAAAUCAAGGAUCUUAGUAUAACUUUUCAUUUUCACCUGUGGCUUCAAUACGUAUGAAUGAACAUGAGAUAGGCACUUGUGUUACUUUGGCUGUAAUGUUUAAUGGGAUUUCGCGGCUAUUACUAUGUUUGUCUAGUUUCACGUUGUUGUUGGACUCAUAUGGUUAGAAAUUACACCUACACGAAUUUUGUGAUUGCUGAUAUUUAAUCACGCAUAUUAUGAGUGUUACUUGACCUUCGCCAUAUGUUUUCUCUGCUAUUUCACUCUCUGCCUUUCGAUUUGUUUCUCUCUCACACCAUUAAUUAGGCUAAAUUGGAUUAAUGCCUUUCGAUUUGUUUCUCUCUCACACCAUUAAUUAGGCUAAAUUGGAUUAAUGGUCUCCCAUAAAAAAAUGAUUAAAUGUGACAUGGAUGA
rnacentral:lncRNA from 1 species